AAAGGCUAGCUAUAUCGCGCAAAUAAAAUAAAUUCAUUUGCCUUUUAAGAAGGAUUUUUGUACGAAAUAAUCAGUUUGCAACAUAGUAUAAUGGAAGACACUGAGACAAAUGACAAUGGAAUCACCAGAAAUGAUAAUAACCAACGGCUUUCUCAAAACGGCAGAGCCGUUAAACAUGAUAAAGGACGUUUUGGACCGAGUCAACUUGUAAUUGGCCAUGCUAGCGGCGGCUUCAUCAGACAGCAAUAUGGAAUCUGGACUGUAGUGCAAGGACAACGUGGCUUUUAUUGGUUCACCGAUAAAGGCAAUAUCAUAACACAUCCCUCUGAUGAAUGGGAAUAAAAUCGAGAGCAGGGAUAUAAAUCAUAUAGGAGUAGGGAGGAUGAACAUACAUGUAUUUAUGGGCGGACCAAGUCAUUACAAUGAAAAUGGAACAUAUACGUUUGUUUUCUUUUCUUUUUGGAAUUAUCAGUUCAUGACAAUCCGUUUAUUUGAUCAUAUAACAAACAUUGCACAUAUAUAUAAUAAUACAGUUUCGCAAUAGUGUUAAAUAGCAGAUUUUGAAAGGUUGUUUACACAAUAAAAGUUUAAUACAUGUGCUUUUGUAGAUUUUGAAAGGCUGCUUGCUUAAACAAUAAUAACUUGACUUACACACUGUUGUUAUUUGAUAAAUAUCAAAAUAAUUUAGACAUGAAACGUAUUGAUGUUUUUAUUUUUCGAAUGAAAUCUUCUGAAUUUGAAGAACUAUCUAAUCAUUAUAUAAAUUACGUAUAUAUAUAUAUAAUAUUUAUAUGUUUUGAUCUUCUUUCACUUAUACUUUAUAAACAAUCAACAAUGUGCCUUAAAUCAAAGUUUGCUAGUACACUGAUAUUCUUUUUGAUAAAUUAAUACUGAUCAUUGCAUAGAAUCAUUUGUUACUAAAUGUCUAACCAUCAUUUUUACUUUACACCUGACCUUUAGUGCCUUCAUCAAAAAUCUAUGAUUUUUUCAGUAACACUUGUAACCUAAUGAAUAUGCAGUAUGUCUACAAUUUGCCUUGCGUUGAUUGGACGUUUGGAUUUUAAAGCGACUGUCAUUAUUUUGAAGCUCAUGCGACUUCACAAUCAUGUAUUACAUCCUAAACUUAAUUAUAAGAUAUUUUUAAAAGUGUUUGAACGAAGUAAUGAUUAAUCAUGGUCCAUUCGACUUUAGUGAGCCUAUUUGAAACUAAUGUUAAUUCAAAAUUAUUUAAUGGAUAAAGGUAUACAUAUAGAUCUCGAGUUAUACAAGUGCUAAUUAAUGUAUAAUUAUAUAUAUAGCUUCACAUUAAAUGUGUAUACAAUACUAAUAAUGCGAAUAUGCGAAUAACUGCUUGUCUGUAAUUUUUAGUAACAGUAUUGUUCUUUUUUGUUUUGUUUUUAACUUACGUGCUUGUUCAUUGUUAAUCAUCUCUCUGAAUACCACUUUGUCAUAAUAUGCCCUGUGUAUAACAAUAUCAGAAAGGAGUUGAUCAAACCAUUCUAUAUUAGAAACCCAAGUAUUUACAUAGUGUUUGUACUAAUGCAAUCGCAAAAAAAAAACACAAGAAAUCUAAGUAAAUUUAUAAACCAAGCAUUUCUUCUAAGAAAUUCAAUGAUAAAUAAUAUGAUUAAGACCAUUAAGUAAUAUAUGAUGUUAACCUCCAAAAUCCAUAUUAUUCUGUUAUUUCAUAUAUGUACCAUUUACAUUUUGAUUUAAAUAUUUAACAUUUGUAUUUUGAAACCUUUUUCUUCUCUGUUAUGUAUGUAUUUGUCUUUAUAUAUUUUCCUUGUAAUAUGCCAUGUUUCAUUGUGACCAUAUAAAUUAUUUUCUAUCGCAUAUCAUGUUUGCUCAAGAAACUGUUAUUAACCUGUUUACGACAAUAACUAAUUCUGUCUGUCUCUCUCUGCAUCUUGAAGGAAAUAAAAAAUCUCUUUCUACAUUGUAUUUGUAAUUGUUCUCAACCUGGAGGUAUUUGUAAAAGAGAAGAAACAACGGAUACCAAUUUUUUUGAUAACACUAAAAUAGCACUUGCGUAAACAAACA